rnacentral:rRNA from 1 species
UGGGGAAUUUUGGACAAUGGGCGCAAGCCUGAUCCAGCAAUGCCGCGUGCAGGAUGAAGGCCUUCGGGUUGUAACUGCUUUUGUACGGAACGAAAAGGCUCUGGCUAAUACCUGGGGCACAUGACGGCUACCGUAAGAAUAAGCACCGGCCUAACUACGUGCCAGCAGCCGCGGUAAUGACGUAGGGUGCGAGCGUUAAUCGGAAUUACUGGGCGUAAAGCGUGCGCAGGCGGUUUUGUAAGACAGAGGUGAAAUCCCCGGGCUCAACCUGGGACUGCCUUUGUGACUGCAAGGCUGGAGUGCGGCAGAGGGGGAUGGAAUUCCGCGUGUAGCAGUGAAAUGCGUAGAUAUGCGGAGGAACACCGAUGGCGAAGGCAAUCCCCUGGG